rnacentral:lncRNA from 1 species
UUAAAUUCAUCGAAGCCAAAGGGUUUAAAUUCAACGAACCUCUUCCCCCAAACGCUCCCCCUCCCAUCGCUCCCAUCAACUCCCUCAACACCGGUGACAAACAACUCCUCACGGUCUCCUCAAUCAAACUCGGUAUGUUUUUGCUAUAACCACUGUUACAAUUGUUAAUAGUAGUAGCAGUAGCAGCAGCAGCAGUAGUGUUAGUAGCGGUAGCAGUAGGAGUACCCGUAGCUGUAGCAUUGCUAGUACAAUUAUGAUCUCUGUUCGACGCCGAUCCAUCGAUUGACUCCACUUUCACCGCCGAUCGAGGUCUGGAGCGUUUCGGUGUUUUUUUCUCCGCCGAAUUCCUGGAAAUCGUUUCGUUCUUGUGAAUUACAGGGCUAAAAUUAAGGUUAGGGUGGGGGCUAGGGUUAGGGUUGGCGCAAGGGUUGAUUUCGUCGUCGUCCAAGGAAUUUUCGCCGAUUGGAGCCACGCUGGUCCAGAUCUUGCGAGAGAUUUCGAAGGUGGCUUGAUCGUGCGCGCUCUUGAAGGAGAAUUCCUUGCCGGAGCCAAUCUUGUUGACGACGUUUCGGUACUUCUUCUUCAGCCUUCGGAUCUUCUCCACCAGCUGGUUCUUGUUGAAAUCGAGUUGGAGCUUCGACUUUAUUUGGUCGUAGAACAGAGCGGUGUCGUUGUGGUGAGAGGAUCCUCGCUGAGAGGUGUAGUCCAGGAACCCUUGCAGUAGCUCGAUCUCGUCCUCGUCGGUCCACAGCCGCUGGAACAGCCGCCGCGAGUCGUCCAGCGGCUUNNNNNNNNNNNNNNNNNNNNNNNNNNNNNNNNNNNNNNNNNNNNNNNNNNNNNNNNNNNNNNNNNNNNNNNNNNNNNNNNNNNNNNNNNNNNNNNNNNNNGUGAUGGUAAAAGGGAAUCCGAAGGGUGGUUUUGGUUUUUAGUUUAGUUUAGGUAGCCUAGUGGACCAAGUGACCAACCAACCCCCUACAUCAUUUUUCUAUUCCCUAUUUCCAUUUUACAAGGAAUCUACUUUCUUCUUUUCCCACAAACGCAACCAAAUUCAUUUCUUUUUCUAUUAUUCAUUUCCCUUCAACCAAAUACUCCAAUUCUUCUUUUUUAUUUAACAACUUAAUAUUUACAUAGUUUCGCACCUGCUGAUUAAUUUCAUUCAUAUUUCAUAAUUAAAAACUUCGUGGAAGUCAAAAAUUAAUUUCAUCAAAUAACUUAUUAAGAAGAACAAAAUAUUCAUUGCAAAUGUUAAAAAAAAAAACAGAAGAUAUGUUUUAACAGUAUUUUUAACAGAAGAUAUGUAUAUUCAAUAAAAUAGUAUUUUUAACAUUUCGUCAGACUUUUAGAAAAAAAAAUCUGCUAGACUGUUAGACUUUUAGAAAAUAAAAAUCUGUUAGACUUAACCACGUAUACAAUCUAUAUUCUAAUUAAAACUUUUAAUGAUAAAAAUGCUAUUUAUGUUAUCUUUGUUUUAAUCCUUUUUUUAAAGAUGAAUGUGCGCACAGCAGAGAGAAAAAAUUCCUAAGCAACUUUUUUUUGCCUAAUAUAACUUGCAAUACUGUUUAUUUAUUUUUUAUGUUUAAUUAAAAGCAAAAUUUAUUUAAAUUUAUUUAAAAAAAUUACUUUUAUGUUCAUAAAAAUUUAUCAUGAUGCGGCAUCGUAUAAACCAGCUGGUGGUUAAAAUCUCCAUACUCACUGAUUUCAUUCAUUUCACGUUUGUUUUCAAUUGAGAAUUACUAACCGAAGAGAAAUAAUUACUUUGACGUGUGUCAUUUGUUUUACCUACUGCUGUUUUGUUUUCAUGCCUUCAUUUUCAUUAGAUGGAAACAAAUUUGUACCAUGCAUCUUGAGGGCACAUUAUAGAAUCGUAAACAUCAUUUAAGUUUUAUAUUUUAUUUUGAACAAAUACAGAUAGUCGAAUAAUUUUGAAUUAACAGUUCAAAAAUCAAACUUUCAUUGUCAUUUUAAAAUAUUCAACAGUAGAUUAUAUACUUUUAAUAGAUCUAUAUAGCAUGUGUUGUAAAAACAAUUAAGGCAUUUGUUGGCAAAACUCGUAAAUAUUAUACCAACCAAACAUGCCUUUGAUCCAUAAUUGUAUUCCCUAUUACACCAAGGAAGACUUCAAAGAAAUAAAAAGAAAAACGUGUAACACACUCAGCAAUUUUGGCCUUCAUAAAUUACAAAAAUAAAUUUAAAUUAGUUUUAAACCCAAUUGAAUUAUCAAACUUCGGUUUAUAUACACAGAUUCUUUCCAUUAAUUUUGUUUGAUAAAGAGAGCUGCUGAAUAUUAAAUUUUAUCCUAACAAAAUUAUUUUACAAAUUCUGUGCGUCCUCUUGAUAGAGAUAUUGAGUGGAACCUACUUUAUACUUUCCAAAGAGAGAUAUGAUGAUAAAACUGUCAUGCGUAUGACAAUAUCCUUUUCACCACUUCAACACAGUAUAACAUUCAUCUCCAUAAAGACUAUUUUCUUUUGUUUAAUAUUGUUUUCCUAUUUCAAAUACAUGUUAUAUGCUUACUAAUACAUUCGACAAUAGUUCCAUUAACAUAUGCGGUUCGUACGAAUAUCAUUCUUCGAUUGUAGUAUAUUAAAUAUAAUACAAUCAACGGAUACGAAAAGACAUUAAUCAAACCAAACAUAAAAUUACAAACUGACGAAAAAAAACAAUUAUAAAAAAUAAAAUUUCCAUACGUUUUUGUCAUUUAACUCGGAAGCUACGACCAAAUCAGCAUGAAACCUUCAAACUCAUCUAUAAAACUGUAUUAACUCUGGACAAAUUUACUUUGAUAAAUGGGGAUGAAACCCAACAAAUUAAUAGAACCUGGGAACGUUUAACCAAAACUCUGGCAGGCGGAGAAAUCUAUAUCUAGCUUCAACCCCCGUAUGCAGAAAAAGAACGGCAUAGGGAUUUUUUUUCUAUAAAUGCGCAUAUGGAAUGGAAAUUAGUCAGCAGCCUAUGCUCAACAACAUGAAAUUAAACAAGGUGUCUGUACCUAAACAUAUUAUAGCCAAAACAUGAUGUUGCGUGGUUUUGUACUUUUCUUUCUACACUUGGGUGGUUUUGUUUUCUUUCUACUCUUCAGUUAUUAAAAGGUAAACCUAGAACUAAGAAAUAAAACACUACCUCAUUUAAAUUUACCAAAUAUUUGAAAGCAAAGGAAAGUUAAACAUGAGCUCUCAAAAUUGUUCAAUGAUAGUACUCAACAUCUGAAGUUAUAAGCAAAACAUAAAACAAGGAUCAACACUUGUACCAAAACAUCUCUCAUUCUAUAAUUCUAGCAUAAGAUAAAAUAACUAUUACAAAGCACCGAAACCAAUAUAACCUUAGAAUCGAAAUAAGUUGUCUCAAUUCCUAUUUCUUCUUUCCAGCCUUGGCAGCAUCAGAAGCCUUUGUCUGCACAAACAAAAAAUGCCAUAUUGUAUCAUUUAAUCAAGCAAAUAAUAAUGCAACAUUUUAUAAUUUCAUACAAAAUUACCUUCUUUACUCCUCGAAUCUUCUUUGCUCUGUUUUUCCUCUCCUUCAGUUGUUUCCUUGACUUUUCUAUCUUAGUGUCAAGACCAUUCUGUAAAAGAUAUAUUUUAGUUUGUUAGCACAAGAAGCAACUGCUGCCGGACAAGCAUUCUAAAAAAAUUCAUUGGGCAGAGAAAACAAAAUGACAGAUGCCAAGAUUUUAAAUGUAGAUAACACUUAAGUUGCAAAAUGAACCUAACGAAAUCAAUUUAUCGUUAAAGAAUGAAUACAGCCACCAGAACCAACCAAAGUAUAUCCAAUGAUUUCUAUGGAAAAUUAUCACCAAUCUUUAUGCUCCCAAAAAACUAGUUUAAAUAAUUAAUUCUAAAACUAGUUUAUGCUCCCAAUAAUGAAUUUAGAGUGUCAAAACUGCAUUUGCAGUAAAAUGCCUUCAACGGGAAGAGGAAAAGUGACUGAAACAAGAGAUAGCAAAAAUGUAUAAAAAAGCAGUAACAACCAUAUUGCAAUGAGUGGAGUAGUACUACAACAAAAUAAGAUCAUAAAACACAACAUAUUCCAUCUUAUAAUAAAAUUCAGGUGAGAUUAUUGCAUCAUUUGUUGACUCACCCUGAUAAGCCUGUACUUGGGCUCGUACUUCUUGGCAUUGUCGACUGAAUCAUAAAUCAAACCAAAACCAGUAGAUUUUCCACCACCAAAAUGUGUUCGGAAUUUGAAGACGAAUACAGUGUUAGGGUCUUUGACUUCGUACAUUCUAGCAAGUUUCUCCUUGAGUUCAGCCUACAUUCCACAACCGACACAACAAAUUUAUUCAACAAUUGUAAUUGUCAGUCAAUAACAACUAAAAUAUACAAUUGCUAGCAUUAAAAAUUUACGGUUCCUGAACUCCUACAUAAAUUAAUUAAAAAAUAAUUUAAAAAAUCGAUCAAAGGUACCUUGGAAACAUUUGCCCUCCCUGGAUGAAGUACAUCAACAACCUGCAACACAAAUAUGUGCAUAUAGAAGGAUUAGAGGUGCCGACGCUACGAAUCACAGCCGCUUCAAUUAAGGAAAUAACCUCCAAACUCAACAAACACUAGACGAAUAAGAAAACAGGACCAUCUACUCUACAGUCAUACAAAUGUGGAAAUCACACUACUCCUUGCAGUUUUUCAGAUCAAGAAAGCUCAUACAAUAGGCAAUUAAACAAAAGCCUUUCCUCUAAACACGUGAUUCAAUUAAAUAAUACACUAUUAUCACAAAAACACAUCCAAUCAGUCAGAUUCAAAGGGCGAAUGAUUGCAAUCCUUACUGAUAUGCAAACAACAACAAAAAACAGAAAAAGAAACAAACAAGACUUGAAAAUGCAUUUCAAACAAUGAUUUCCAUUUGCAGAUUCGUAUCGGAAAAAAGAAGGGCACGGAACACUCACAAACUGCUUCCUGGAGAGGAGCCUGUUUGUCAUGAACUUGCGGGUUCUGAUUGUAACAGCCUUGUCCGCCAUGCC